UGCCCCCUGGCCCAGCUGGUUAAGGCGUCCGACUGUUAUCCGUGCAAGUAAAAUUCCGGCAUUGACAUCGGGAGAUCGGGAGUUCGAUCCUCCCGGGGGCAG